rnacentral:lncRNA from 1 species
UUUUUUUUUUUUUUUUUUUUGUCUGAAUCAUAAAAGCAACAUGACAUGAUCUGGAAAGCUUUAGGGAAUGUAAGUGCUGUCAUCAGCUGGGAGAUUUCAUUUUCUAGGAUUAAUUGAAGUUGCUGCCACCAUCUCUACAGCAAGAGUGUCAAAAGUGAGUAACGGACUGAUCCCUGCUGGCGAAUGGGGUUUCUCAGGAUGAUAGGCAGAGGAUGCUCCUACCGGGCUGUCCUCCUGGCAGAGGCAGAAACGCUAGCAGUCCCUGGCCAGUAAGUCCAUUUCCCUUCUAUCUGUUCUGAGAUAAUGGCAUUGCACUGGAAUUGAAUAGAGUCUGAGGAAGAUAAGCACUAACUACCCUAAUGGGCAUCCAGCCCCCUAGUGUGAUUGCCCGCAAAAGAAAACAGUGUCCCAAGCUCAGCUCAGAACCAGGCAAUUCUCAGCUGAACAGCUCGGCUGCCCUCCUUUCUUUGUUUCUUUGUUUGUGUACGUUGUUGUUUGCUUUUGUUUCUGCUACUGUUUUGUAGAGAUGGGGUCUCAACACGUUGCCCAGGCUGAUCUUGAACUCCUGGUCUCAAACAAUCCUCCCAUCUCAGCUUCCCAACGUGCUGGGAUUGCAGAUGUGAACCACUGUGCCUGGCUAUCUUUUAGUUCUUUGAGACAAGGUCUCACUGUGUCCAGCUCACCACAGCUAGAAACUCCUGGGCUCAAGCCAUCCUCCUGCCUCAACCUCUCCAGUAGCUGGGACUACAGGUGCACACCACCACACCUGCCUAUUUUGUUUUGUUUUGUUUUUGUUUGAGAUGGGGUCUCGCUAUGUUGCCCAGUCUGCUCUCCAACUCUUGGCCUCCAGUGAUCCUCCUCCUUCGACUUCCCAAAGCACUGGGAUUAUAGGCAUGAGCCACCAUGCCCGGCCGUGAAGUAUUUUCUAUCCUUGAAAUGUGUUAGACAAAUUCCUGAGGGGAAACCCCACACAUUCAAUAACCCUUUACUUUUUCAACAAAGCUUCCCAUAUAUUGGAGCCUCAUUUUAUCCCCCACCCAUGAACUUUAAAAGUGGAACAUCAUUUUGUUCUUAAAAAAAGGAACAGUCAGGAAAAGGCAGGGCUCUCAACUGAUACUGAGAGCUCAGGGACUGGAACACUUGAUGAAAUGUGUCGAGCUCAGGCCCAGCCCGCGAGGAGCUGAGUCGGGGCUGGUGUGCUGGCAGGGCGGUCAGAGCUGCAGCCACUGAGGCCACGACUGCGGAAAAACAUCUCCUCUUGGGCCGUGGGGGAAGCUGGGGCGCAGGGGCGCAGCGGGCAUUGGGGGCACACCUGCCGGAACUGCGCGUGGGAGCCGCCUCACCACACCUUACUCCACCUUCUCCUCCUUUUCCUCCGGCAUCUCCACCGACAGGAUCUGCUCGCCGGGCUCCGGGCCUGGGCUCAUGCGGAUCCUUACCGAGUGCUCCUCAGGCUGGGCCGCCCCCUCCUCUUCUCCCUCGGGCCUCCCAAGGGAGGCAGGCGGUGGAGAGCGGUGGAGACCCCAGGG